AUCCAGCAUUCAUUUAUAUUAUAAAAUGUCAAAAAAGCAUUUAAUAUUAUAAAAUCUUAAAAUAAUAUUUAAUUUCAUGCGCGUUCAAAAGCCCUUGGUAUGUUUAGAACUCUUUUCUUAGUGUCGAAAAUGUAUUUUAUAUUUCAACUUUCUCGUACUUAACUAAAAAAUGAAAAUUUCAGGUCAUAAGAAAUUUAAAACUUUUUGAUAUGGCGUAUCGGAGAUUCCAAAAUUCAUAAUCUGCUUAUGUUACUAAAAAGCAUGGGGGUAGAUUUCCAAUUUCCAACCUUCGUUAAAAAAUCGUGAAAAUAAUACACCCGAGCAUAAAAAAAAGUAAGAAAAAAAGAUAAUUAUAUGAAAACACCCGAUCUCUGCUGUAGUCGGGCGCAGGAUCCGAGAGAAAUUUAAAACUCAUUUGUUCCACAACGUAAUAAUCGUUUGCAGGAAAGGAAGCUAAUCUGGCAACGGGUGUGCCAGAGGAGUUUCAGUUGCACGACCAUUAUUCCAAGGAUCGAAUUCUUUUAUUACCUCAGCUCUACACGGGGUUUUCUUAACUAUCUCCCAAAAUAAUAAAAAAAAAGAAGUUUUUUCUUACAUCGUCUUGUUCCAUUAUUAAAAAUGGAACAUUAUACUUUUUUAAAGUAUUUCCGUUUACGACUUCGCCAUCAAGCGAGCAGGCUAAAUCGUUGUCUAUUCCAAAAGUCAAUGGAAAUAAUCAUCUAUCGAUUAAAGUUGUCACGUUGAAAGAGAGUGGCUUUGCGUGUGGAAAGGUUAUUUAUGGUCACAAUUGUCAGGUUUCGAUGAAAUAAAUAACUGAGAAAUGGUGUUAUUUCGUAGUUAACAUGAAACUGACAUUGGAUCGGCUUCUUCAGACUGUUAACCUUUAUAUCUCUGUGAUAAUGAUUCGUUAUCACUUUAUAUCGAAUUGAGUCGUUAUCGAUUCGUUGUGGAAAAUAAAACAUAAUACGCUUGAUUAAAUGGAUAGGCAAUUUUCGUACUUAAUGAUGGAAAAGCGAAAAAUAGUGCUUUAGAAAUGGGUCGUUCUCCCUCCCAUGGGCAUAAAAUGAAGUAUCUGUGAUUGAGGUGUUUUGCUUCUUCAGCAUCUUCUAUAAAUCGCCGUAACGCUUUCUAUCCUGUAAAGAAAAAAAAAAAAGAAGGAAUUAUUCAAAAAUCGCGAUUCAUAGUUUGAAAUCAUAUGAAAAAUUUUCAUGUCAUUGUAUUUAUUUUUUUGUGAAAUAUGAAUAAAUUACAAUAUUACAAAAGUCA